UUUACCAAGUGAGUUUAAUCUGGUUUCCAGGUCAAAUAUCUUUGUAAACUUGAACUAAGAUAAAACUAAUUUACAAGUAACUUUUCAUCAAGAUUUUGCAG